rnacentral:rRNA from 1 species
AUUGAACGCUGGCGGCAGGCCUAACACAUGCAAGUCGAACGAGUGGCGGACGGGUGGGUAAUGUCUGGGCAACUGCCUGGUGGAGGGGGAUAACUACUGGAAACGGUAGCUAAUAACGCAUACCAUCAGAUGUUCCCAGAUGGGAUUAGCUUGUUGGUGGGGUAACGGCUCACCAGGGCGACGAUCCCUAGCUGGUUUGAGAGGAGGACCAGCCACAUGGGAACUGAGACACGGUCCAGACUCCUACGGGAGGCAGCAGUGGGGAAUAUUGCACAAUGGGCGAAAGCCUGAUGCAGCCAUGCCGCGUGUAUGAAGAAGGCUUUCGGGUUGUAAAGUACUUUCAGCGGGGAGGCGUUAACCGCAGAAGAAGCACCGGCUAACUCCGUGCCAGCAGCCGCGGUAAUUC